ACCAAACUUAACUAUCUUUCUAGAUCCUUCUCCUCUCCACUUCUUCUUCUCCCUCUACAUACCUACAUUAUUCUCUUCUUUUUUCUUUUUUUUUUUUUCUCUAUUGGAAGCUUUAUAUUUUUCCAAGCUUAGAGUAGGAACAAGAGUACCCAAAAGCCCAGUUCCCUAAGGUCCCAAACCUCAAUCCUCGAUGCGUGAUUAAGGAGUUUAGUUAAAGAGAGGAUUGGAGAUCAUGGGACAAGAAUAAGUGGAGAGCUCUUAAAGAGGGUGGACUGAGUUCUAGGAUUUGAGAAGCUAGCCUUGCAAGGAAGAAGAGAUUCAGGUCCGAGCGAGGCGGUCGAGGACCAUGGCAAGGGUAUCGCACCCCAGCUAGCGACUACCCGAGUAUAGCUUCAUGCAUGUUUAUCAUCUUUUGUAUUUGAUAAUGCUAGUAGUAUGAAUGACGCAUAAAUGUAAAAGCUUAAGUUUUUGAGAAAUGAAAUGUUAUGUAGUUUUUGGAGAUCAUAUGAUGUGUAAAGAAAAGAAUGUAAUAGAAUGCAAAUGUUGAAAGCAUCUAUAUGAUUAAAAGUUAACCAUAGUA